rnacentral:rRNA from 1 species
UACGGGGGGAGCAAGCGUUGUUCGGAUUUACUGGGCGUAAAGGGCGCGUAGGCGGCGCAACAAGUCACUUGUGAAAUCUCCGGGCUUAACUCGGAGCGGCCAAGUGAUACUGUCGUGCUAGAGUGCGGAAGGGGCAACUGGAAUUCUCGGUGUAGCGGUGAAAUGCGUAGAUAUCAGGAGGAAUACCGGUGGCGAAAGCGACUCUCUGGACGGCAACUGACGCUGAGGCACGAAAGCGUGGGGAGCAAACAGG